rnacentral:rRNA from 1 species
GACGAACGCUGGCGGCGUGCUUAACACAUGCAAGUCGAACGGUAAGGCCCUUUCGGGGGUACACGAGUGGCGAACGGGUGAGUAACACGUGGGUGAUCUGCCCUGCACUUUGGGAUAAGCCUGGGAAACUGGGUCUAAUACCGGAUAGGACUACGCGAUGCAUGUCGUGUGGUGGAAAGCUUUUGCGGUGUGGGAUGGGCCCGCGGCCUAUCAGCUUGUUGGUGGGGUGAUGGCCUACCAAGGCGACGACGGGUAGCCGGCCUGAGAGGGUGUCCGGCCACACUGGGACUGGGAUACGGCCCAGACUCCUACGGGGGGCAGCAGGGGGGAAUUUUGCACAAUGGGCGCAAGCCUGAUGCAGCGACGCCGCGGGGGGGAUGACGGCCUUCGGGUGUUAACCCCUUUUCAGCACAGACGAAGCGUAAGGGACGGGAUGGGCAAAAGAAGCCCCGGCCAACUACGG